rnacentral:rRNA from 1 species
AUUGAACGCUGGCGGCAGGCCUAACACAUGCAAGUCGAGCGAGCGGCGGGCGGGUGAGUAAUGUAUGGGGACUGCCCGAUAGCGGGGGAUAACUACUGGAAACGGUAGCUAAUCCCGCAUACUAUCGGAUAACCCAUAUGGUAUUAGCUAGUAGGUGAGGUAAUGGCUCACCUAGGCGACGAUCCAUAGCUGGUCUGAGAGGAUGAUCAGCCACACGGGGAGUGGGACACGGCCCAGAGUCCUACGGAGGCAGCAGUGGGGAAUAUUGCACAAUGGGCGCAAGCCUGAUGCAGCCAUGCCGCGUGUAUGAAGAAGGCCCUAGGGUUGUAAAGUACUUUCAGUCGGGAGGCGUUACCGACAGAAGAAGCACCGGCUAACUCCGUGCCAGCAGCCGCGGUAAUUC